rnacentral:rRNA from 1 species
GAUGAACGCUGGCGGCGUGCCUAAUACAUGCAAGUCGAGCGAACAGACGAGGAGCUUGCUCCUCUGACGUUAGCGGCGGACGGGUGAGUAACACGUGGAUAACCUACCUAUAAGACUGGGAUAACUUCGGGAAACCGGAGCUAAUACCGGAUAAUAUAUUGAACCGCAUGAUUCAAUAGUGAAAGACGGUUUUGCUGUCACUUAUAGAUGGAUCCGCGCCGCAUUAGCUAGUUGGUAUGGUAACGGCUUACCAAGGCAACGAUGCGUAGCCGACCUGAGAGGGUGAUCGGCCACACUGGAACUGAGACACGGUCCAGACUCCUACGGGAGGCAGCAGUAGGGAAUCUUCCGCAAUGGGCGAAAGCCUGACGGAGCAACGCCGCGUGAGUGAUGAAGGUCUUCGGAUCGUAAAACUCUGUUAUUAGGGAAGAACAAAUGUGUAAGUAACUAUGCACGUCUUGACGGUACCUAAUCAGAAAGCCACGGCUAACUACGUG